GACGAACGCUGGCGGCGUGCUUAACACAUGCAAGUCGAACGAUGAAGCCUAGCUUGCUAGGUGGAUUAGUGGCGAACGGGUGAGUAAUACGUGAGUAACCUACCUUUAACUCUGGGAUAAGCCUGGGAAACUGGGUCUAAUACCGGAUACGACCAAUCUCCGCAUGGGGUGUUGGUGGAAAGCGUUAUGUAGUGGUUAUAGAUGGGCUCACGGCCUAUCAGCUUGUUGGUGAGGUAACGGCUCACCAAGGCGACGACGGGUAGCCGGCCUGAGAGGGUGACCGGCCACACUGGGACUGAGACACGGCCCAGACUCCUACGGGAGGCAGCAGUGGGGAAUAUUGCACAAUGGGCGCAAGCCUGAUGCAGCGACGCCGCGUGAGGGAUGACGGCCUUCGGGUUGUAAACCUCUGUUAGCAGGGAAGAAGAGAGAUUGACGGUACCUGCAGAGAAAGCGCCGGCUAACUACGUGCCAGCAGCCGCGGUAAUACGUAGGGCGCGAGCGUUGUCCGGAAUUAUUGGGCGUAAAGAGCUUGUAGGCGGUUUGUCGCGUCUGCUGUGAAAGGCCGGAGCUUAACUCCGUGUAUUGCAGUGGGUACGGGCAGACUAGAGUGCAGUAGGGGAGACUGGAAUUCCUGGUGUAGCGGUGGAAUGCGCAGAUAUCAGGAGGAACACCGAUGGCGAAGGCAGGUCUCUGGGCUGUAACUGACGCUGAGAAGCGAAAGCAUGGGGAGCGAACAGG
rnacentral:rRNA from 1 species